rnacentral:rRNA from 1 species
GACAGAGGAUGCAAGCGUUAUCCGGAAUGAUUGGGCGUAAAGCGUCUGUAGGUGGCUUUUCAAGUCCGCCAUCAAAUCCCAGGGCUCAACCCUGGACAGGCGGUGGAAACUACCAAGCUAGAGUACGGUAGGGGCAGAGGGAAUUUCCGGUGGAGCGGUGAAAUGCAUUGGGAUCGGAAAGAACACCAACGGCGAAAGCACUCUGCUGGGCCGACACUGACACUGAGAGAAGAAAGCUAGGGGAGCAAAUGGG